AUGAACGCUGGCGGCGUGCCUAAUACAUGCAAGUCGAGCGAACAGACGAGGAGCUUGCUCCUCUGACGUUAGCGGCGGACGGGUGAGUAACACGUGGAUAACCUACCUAUAAGACUGGGAUAACUUCGGGAAACCGGAGCUAAUACCGGAUAAUAUAUUGAACCGCAUGGUUCAAUAGUGAAAGACGGUUUUGCUGUCACUUAUAGAUGGAUCCGCGCCGCAUUAGCUAGUUGGUAAGGUAACGGCUUACCAAGGCGACGAUGCGUAGCCGACCUGAGGGUGAUCGGCCACACUGGAACUGAGACACGGUCCAGACUCCUACGGGAGGCAGCAGUAGGGAAUCUUCCGCAAUGGGCGAAAGCCUGACGGAGCAACGCCGCGUGAGUGAUGAAGGUCUUCGGAUCGUAAAACUCUGUUAUUAGGGAAGAACAAAUGUGUAAGUAACUAUGCACGUCUUGACGGUACCUAAUCAGAAAGCCACGGCUAACUACGUG
rnacentral:rRNA from 1 species